rnacentral:rRNA from 1 species
AGGACGAACGCUGGCGGCGUGCUUAACACAUGCAAGUCGAACGAGAAAGGCUCUUCGGAGCUGAGUACAGUGGCGAACGGGUGAGUAACACGUGGGCAACCUGCCCUAGGGAGCGGGACAACCCGAGGAAACUCGGGCUAAUACCGCAUGAUUCGUACGGUCUCAAGUCCGUACGGGAAAUGGUAGCUUCGGCCUCCGCCCUGGGAUGGGCCCGCGGCGCAUUUAGCUUUGUUGGUGUAGGUAACGGCUCACCAAGGCGACGAUGCGUAGCUGGUCUGAGAGGACGAUCAGCCACACUGGGACUGAGACACGGCCAGACUCCUACGGGAGCAGCAGUGGGAAUCUUGCGCAAUGGGCGAAGCCUGACGCAGCAACGCGCGUGUGGGAGCGGCUUCGGUGUAACCACUUUCGAGGGACGAAGCUUCGAAGGUUAUAGCCGUACGGGUGACCGGUACCCCAGAACGAACGCCCGGACGUAACGUACGU